CAGAGCUCCAUAACCUGCACAGAAGAAGAUCAAUCAUCUCCGCUUCUUUGAACCAGUUUGGUGAACCAAUUUCUACUAUUUCCAGGUAGCAAUUGAAAAAAGUCUAUUUCAUGUACGUUCAUUCACUCGGUUUAUAUAUAUUUACUUGAGUAAUAUAUAGCUAUUCAAAAUAAUGUGAAUCAAGCCGCAAUUAAUUUAUGACGAAUGGUCAUGCACGCCAGGUUACUGCGCUUUUGCAAUCACAAUAUAUCGAUUCUCUAAACUUUCAUUACGGUUAUAUUUUUAAAAAUUCAUUGGUGGGUCACAAUGUGAAAUCCCACCCCGCCACCGUAAGACCUGGUGGGGAUUUCUUGGGCUGAUGACAGGACGCUUAAUUUAGUUCUUUCUUGCAUGAUUAUUGAAUUUCUGGGUCGGACGAUUCUCUAGAUAAAUCAAGCAAGAUCGACACGUAGCCUUUUAUUUACAGUCAAGGCGAAGGGAGGGGACUAGUCUAAAAUUUGUUACAUUUUUUUCAGAUGUCUAGGGUAUCUGCAUGCAUGUGCACAAUAUCUAGUGCAGUUAAUAUAGAGAUUGGUUAAAUUCGGGGGUGGGCUGGUCAGGGGUCGGAACUAUAGGGAACGAAUCAACAAAGGAAAUUUUGUUGGCAUUUUACAAAGAAAACAAAGAAUUGUUUUCAUUGUCAUGUUAGUAAAAGAGCACAACUGCUAGUCAAAGGGCUGAGACAUCCGAGGCAACAAGUCCUCUUUUCCUUCAUGCAGUGGGCCAAAUCGCCGGAAAGUGACGUAAACUGGGGCAAAUGCCCAACCACAUACGUAAGGUAUUACAGUUGUCUUGAGAAAUAUGUACUGUAUUAAUACGCCUUUUUCAAACAUAUCUGGAUUACAUUAAAUUUGCAUACUAUAGAAGAAAUAUGACUAAUCCAAUUUUAAUAAUUUGUUUAUGUAGUACACGACCAUGAUGCAAGUCAUGUUAGCAGCCUUGUUUCUUUUUGCUAAUGUAAUAUGCAUUAACGCUGGGACAAAAUAUGAUGCAACAUGGACCAUAACUUGUCCUAAUGGU